ensembl:lncRNA
AUCCUUUCUGCUGCCCGUACAGUCUGCUGCAGUCUGCACCUGUCCUGUUUAGUGGCUGCACCAUACCGGACUGUGAUGGAGGAGCACAGGACAGACUCAAUGACUGCAGUGUAGAACUGGAUCAGCAGCUCCUGUGGAAGACUGUACUUCCCCAGUUGUCUCAGGAAGUACAUCCUCUGCUGGGUCUUUUUGAGGAUGGAGUUGAUGUUGGUCUCCCAAUUCAGGUCCUGGGAGAUGGUGGUACCCAGCAACUUGAAGAUCUCCACAGUCGACACAGGGCUGUCUGAUAUGAUGAGGGGGGGGGCAGAGUUGAGGGAUGUCUCCUGAAGUCCAC